rnacentral:rRNA from 1 species
AGCGAACGUUAGCGGCGGGCCUAACACAUGCAAGUCGAACGAGAAUGAGGGGGCAACUCCUCUAGUAAAGUGGCGGACGGGUGCGUAACACGUGGGUAAUUUACCUUCCAGCGGGGGACAACCGUCCGAAAGGAUGGCUAAUACCGCGUACGUCGGCGAGGGCUACGGCUCUUGUCGGGAAAGACGGCCUCUCCUUGGAAGCUGUCCCUGGAAGAUGAACCCGCGGCCCAUCAGCUAGUUGGUGAGGUAACGGCNCACCAAGGCUAAGACGGGUAGCUGGUCUGAGAGGAUGAUCAGCCACACUGGGACUGCGACACGGCCCAGACUCCUACGGGAGGCAGCAGUGGGGAAUAUUGGGCAAUGGGCGAAAGCCUGACCCAGCCACGCCGCGUGAGUGAUGAAGGCCU